GGUGACCAGAGAGCAGUGUGAGGAUUUGGCAGCGACGUGUUGACGCUGCGCUUGCGUACCAUACGUAGGGCAAGACUGGAAGGCCGCUGGGAAAAUACCAGCAUCCCGAACGCAAAAAACGGACAGCGGGUCCACGUGCUAGGGAUUCGACCGCAUCCAAUGCAGGUGGGAAGAUCCCGCUAGACUAAAAUAGCUUAUCCUUAUCAAAACCCGGAAAUGCCAAAUGGACACGUGGGAUGAGGGUUCGGUUAAAUAACGCAGGAUGGUGGCCUACAAGGUUUCAGUGUGUUUCUGGAAAAGGAAAUAAUAUUCAGGAUGCCUAACACCGAUGAGUGAAGCCUCAAGUUAAUGAGCCCUGGGCUGGAGGCUUCCUAAAACACUAUGCAAAUGUGUAUUAAACAAGGCGUAGAGGAAACACUGACCAUUUUAAGAUGGUUGAUGCAACUUCUGAAAAUCUGAAGAACUUUGUUUCAAGCUGGUAUUAGCAUUUCACGAAAAGGAUCGGGGAGUUCUGCAUUAGGGUGAAGUAGAUUUCUCAUUAACAUGGAUGAAAAAUACCUAUUGAUAGUAUAAUUCGUUGAGCAGAGGGCAGAAGAGGGCGCCGCAACUCUAGUGAGCAGGGUUGAGAAGCCUGUUUGGAUCCAGCUCUGCCAUUCUGGGCCGUGAGGUUACCAAUGUAGCAGUGAAGAAAGCCGGGGAUCACAGGCUCUCCUCCUUGUUAUAACAUUAGUAACAACACAAGAGGAGAGGAAAACAAGAGAGAAGACAGAAAGCCCGGAACUGGCAACCAGGCCCAGAGACUUGGAGGCUGGAAGUCAAUAACCAAAGUGCCAGCACAGACCAAGCUGGGAGGACUCCAUUCUGGAUUGCGGAUGGCCACCUUCUUGCCAGGAGUCAAAAGUGAGCAGCAGUGCCCACCUCUUGGUCAUGCAGGGUGAAGGACUGAACCAGGGCUUGUGUUUGCCAGCAGCUUGCGGCACCGGGAAUGAUGGACAGCCACGUGGUCUCUGGCUGGCAGCGUGGAUGAGACACCGAUGUGGAUUCAGAGGCACCAAGGACUACGAACAUCAACAUGGCCUCCACAGCAGCACUGAUCAUGGAAGUCUUUCAAGGGGACAACUCAGAAAAUGAAUCGUUCUUCAUCUCGGAUAUCUUGUUGCUCAGAGUCAGGGUGAUCGUGGGAUCGGGCAGCGUGUGUGUGGAACAGAAGUGGGCGUGGGGGGGGGCACCUAGAAGAGCUGCGGCUCCAUUCUGCGGGCUGAGCGGCAGCAGUACUUGUCCUAGCAGGCGGGAACCGGGUGAGGUGGAUCCUAUAGUCGCUUGAGCCUCCAGGGGCCGAGGAGAACCUUCUCUACUGGGCAAUGACAUGCUCCUUUGUGCCCUCCCCCUGCCGCAGCCCUGCUCCAUACCCAUCGCUGCCCAGUCUCGCUUCCCUCUGUUGCGCUGCUCUGUUCUGCAGUAUGGAAAAAAAAUAUACUUUAGGGGUGGGGCACGCCAUUGAACUUUUCAUAAUUUCCAUCUCUUUGCUGAAAUUCCCUCUGACUACACCCAUUGUCAGCUUUCCCCACCAGAUCCUUUAAUGUAUUGUUACACUUUUUAAAAUUCUUCUCUGCUAAUUUGAAUACUCAGAUCAUAUGCAAAUCCGC
ensembl:lincRNA B230217O12Rik RIKEN cDNA B230217O12 gene